UACGGAGGGAGCUAGCGUUAUUCGGAAUUACUGGGCGUAAAGCGCACGUAGGCGGCUUUGUAAGUAAGAGGUGAAAGCCUGGAGCUCAACUCCAGAAUUGCCUUUUAGACUGCAUCGCUUGAAUCAUGGAGAGGUGAGUGGAAUUCCGAGUGUAGAGGUGAAAUUCGUAGAUAUUCGGAAGAACACCAGUGGCGAAGGCGGACUCACUGGACACUAUAUUGCGCUGAGGUGCGAAAGCGUGGGAGCAAACAGG
rnacentral:rRNA from 1 species